rnacentral:lncRNA from 1 species
AAGUAAAAUGAGUCAUUACAUAAUUAAAUCUUAAAUCAAAUCCUAACUAAAUCUUAAACCCUAAAUCAAAUCCAAACCAAAUCUUAAAUCUUAAUCAAAUCUUUAAUUAAAUCUUAACCAAAUCUUGAACCAAAUCCUAAACUCUAAAUGAAACCCUAACUAAAUCCUAAUCCUAAAUCAAAUUCUAACCAAAUUCUAAAUCCUAAACCAAUCCCUUAUUAAAUCUUAGUAAUUCCUAUAACAGAUUUAAACCUCAAUAAUUAAUAAAUAAAUCAUUGAUCUUAACUCAAAUUUUGCUUAAUUUUUAAAAACUAAGUUGAAAACAAGCACAAAAAGUUUUAAAAGAAUUAAAAUUAUCAAAUAGACGAUAACCUCAAAAAUAUGCUCGGGUAUUGGCUGGUCUCCUUCUCCAACCUUGAUGCCAAUCUCCCAGAGCCAAUAUUUCUCCUUUUCACCAUUUGAUUGAUUUCAAAAUUUUCAUACACAUAGAAAAACAAGUCUUAUAUCCUUUCACUUUAAU